rnacentral:rRNA from 1 species
UACAGAGGGGGCGAGCGUUGUUCGGAAUUACUGGGCGUAAAGGGCGCGUAGGCGGCCUUCUAAGUCGAACGUGAAAUCCCCGGGCUCAACCCGGGAACUGCGUCCGAUACUGGGAGGCUUGAAUCCGGGAGAGGGAUGUGGAAUUCCAGGUGUAGCGGUGUAAUGCGUAGAUAUCUGGAGGAACACCGGUGGCGAAGGCGGCAUCCUGGACCGGUAUUGACGCUGAGGCGCGAAAGCCAGGGGAGCAAACGGG